ensembl:lncRNA
CUACAGUAAAAUACACACUACACAAUAUACACACUACAGUAUACACACUACACAAUAUACACACUACACAAUAUACACACUACAGUAAAAUACACACUACACAAUAUACACACUACAUACAAUACACACUACACAAUAUACACACUACAGUAAAAUACACACUACACAAUAUACACACUACAGUAUACACACUACACAAUAUACACACUACAGUAUACACACUACACAAUAUACACACUACACAAUAUACACACACAAUAUACACACUACACAAUAUACACACUACAGUAAAAUACACACUACACAAUAUACAAACUACACAAUAUACACACUACAGUGAUAUACACACUACACAAUAUACACACUACAGUAUACACACUACACAAUACACUAUACACACUACACAAUAUACACACUACAGUAUACACACUACACAAUAUACACACUACACAAUAUACACACUACAGUAAAAUACACACUACACAAUAUACACACUACACAAUAUACACACUACACAAUAUACACACUACA